rnacentral:rRNA from 1 species
GACGAACGCUGGCGGCGUGCUUAACACAUGCAAGUCGAACGGAAAGGCCCUGCUUGCAGGGUACUUGAGUGGCGAACGGGUGAGUAACACGUGGGUGAUCUGCCCUGCACUUCGGGAUAAGCCUGGGAAACUGGGUCUAAUACCGGAUAGGAGCCAUUUUUAGUGUGAUGGUUGGAAAGUUUUUUCGGUGUAGGAUGAGCUCGCGGCCUAUCAGCUUGUUGGUGGGGUAAUGGCCUACCAAGGCGGCGACGGGUAGCCGGCCUGAGAGGGUGGACGGCCACAUUGGGACUGAGAUACGGCCCAGACUCCUACGGGAGGCAGCAGUGGGGAAUAUUGCACAAUGGGCGCAAGCCUGAUGCAGCGACGCCGCGUGGGGGAUGACGGCCUUCGGGUUGUAAACUCCUUUCGCUAGGGACGAAGCUUUUUGUGACGGUACCUAGAUAAGAAGCACCGGCUAACUACGUG